rnacentral:piRNA from 1 species
UUAUGUAAUGCCUGUGUCUGUGUU